UGGUAGCUCACAACCAUCGUUAUUGAGAUCU
rnacentral:piRNA from 1 species